rnacentral:rRNA from 1 species
UACGGAGGGGGCUAGCGUUGUUCGGAAUUACUGGGCGUAAAGCGCACGUAGGCGGCUUUGUAAGUUAGAGGUGAAAGCCCAGGGCUCAACCCUGGAAUUGCCUUUAAGACUGCAUCGCUUGAACAUCGGAGAGGUAAGUGGAAUUCCGAGUGUAGAGGUGAAAUUCGUAGAUAUUCGGAAGAACACCAGUGGCGAAGGCGGCUUACCAGAAUGCGCUCGACGGUGAGGGAUGAAAGCUGGGGG